UGACGGUGAGACCUAGAAAAGAAAAAGGGUAGAGGUCUUCACAGCUCUGUCUUCAUCACUGCCCUGCAACCUAACUAAAGCAACUUGUCCUCCUCGUCCGGAGCGUUCUGUACCCCACCUCACAACAAAUAGGAAGCAAUCACAAAGGCAACGGUUGUAAACGAAACAGCAAGGGUCAGGAAUCAGGAGACCAGAGUUCUCUUCCCAGUAAUUUGCCAGCAUAAUUUGGACAGAUACCAUGAGGAUAGCCAUCACGACUGCGGUAUCCUAAGAGUUCUGGAGGUCCAGUUAGUCCAGAAGAGUAGCCCUGGAUUUUCCUCAACUCUGAGAGUGACUAGGAUAUUGAUGUGAUGUGAAUGGAUUGAUAGAUCUUCUAAUGCUUACCAUACUGGCAUUUCAGGAUUCUACAUUUCUUUUACUCACCACGUCUCCCUAUCCCCUCUGGACCCUGACAGUUUCUCAGAAUUUCCC